GUUCGGAUUGUAGGCUGAAACUCGCCUACAUGAAGCUGGAGUUACUAGUAAUCGCAGAUCAGAAUGCUGCGGUGAAUGCGUUCCCGGGUCUUGUACACACCGCCGUCACACCACGGAAGUUGGGGCGCCCGAAGCCACUUAGCUAACCCUUUUGGGAAGCGAGUGUCGAAGGUGAAAUCAAUAACUGGGGUGAAGUCGUAACAAGGUAAC
rnacentral:rRNA from 1 species